rnacentral:rRNA from 1 species
AUUGAACGCUGGCGGCAGGCCUAACACAUGCAAGUCGAGCGGAUGACGGGAGCUUGCUCCUUGAUUCAGCGGCGGACGGGUGAGUAAUGCCUAGGAAUCUGCCUGGUAGUGGGGGACAACGUUUCGAAAGGAGCGCUAAUACCGCAUACGUCCUACGGGAGAAAGCAGGGGACCUUCGGGCCUCGCGCUAUCAGAUGAGCCUAGGUCGGAUUAGCUAGUAGGUGAGGUAAUGGCUCACCUAGGCGACGAUCCGUAACUGGUCUGAGAGGAUGAUCAGUCACACUGGAACUGAGACACGGUCCAGACUCCUACGGGAGGCAGCAGUGGGGAAUAUUGGACAAUGGGCGAAAGCCUGAUCCAGCCAUGCCGCGUGUGUGAAGAAGGUCUUCGGAUUGUAAAGCACUUUAAGUUGGGAGGAAGGGCAGUAAGCUAAUACCUUGCUGUUUUGACGUUACCGACAGAAUAAGCACCGGCUAACUCUGUGCCAGCAGCCGCAGUAAGAC